GGCGGCUGCACCGAUGAAGGUUUCCACACGGCGAGGCACGUCAGCCGGGCCGAGGUGUUCACUUCCACGAGGAGCGUGGGAGGUUCAAGCUCCUGUGGGACGACAGCGGUUGGUCAAUGGAUGAUCGGCAGCUCAGCAGACAACAACACAGACGUGCCUCUUUAAGGUGGAGCUUCCACAUCUUGAUCAAUCCGUCAUUGGAAGCCGUCACCAACACGCAGUAAUCCUCCAUCAUAAAACUGUCCACUGCUUUCACCCUGAGGUCGCAACAAGGAGAGUUGGUGUCAGCAGGUGAAACACCUGCUAAAGCAGAGCCGUGGAAUUUACCUGAGUGUCUUAUCGGUCCCGACUGUCAGUGCGAGUUUCCCAGACGGAUGGACGGACAGCGAUGUCACCUGACCUCUGCAGAAAAAAACAAGAGGAUGAAUAAUUUGAGACUUCCUGUGCAUCAC